AAGGAGAUUACCUUGGUCCAGCUGAAGGAUCUGGCUGGCUCGCCGCGAUCGGAAGUAGUUGCUGGCAAUGGUCUCGCUGUCGCUCCUGUCCAGCACCAGCCUGUAGUGGUCUUCCUCGGGCUGCAGGAUGAUUUUUAAAUGAACCUGAAGCAAAUCUUAGUGAUGUGGUCUUAGAACUCCUGGAAUUUCCUAACUUUGGUUAAAAAGAGAGUGCGCUCAGAGCUGGCAGCAGCUGCAGCGGAUCUGCAGGUCGGCAGAGGGAGUCGCAUCCCCUCCCAUCCCGACGCGUGCUCCUCCCGCCAAGUGUCACGCACCGAGUCUUUACAACUGGAGGGGUUUGGGCUUCGAAAGCUUAAUCCCCCACCCGAGAGAUUUCCUAAAA